GAUGAACGCUGGCGGCGUGCCUAAUACAUGCAAGUCGAGCGAACGGACGAGAAGCUUGCUUCUCUGAUGUUAGCGGCGGACGGGUGAGUAACACGUGGAUAACCUACCUAUAAGACUGGGAUAACUUCGGGAAACCGGAGCUAAUACCGGAUAAUAUUUUGAACCGCAUGGUUCAAAAGUGAAAGACGGUCUUGCUGUCACUUAUAGAUGGAUCCGCGCUGCAUUAGCUAGUUGGUAAGGUAACGGCUUACCAAGGCAACGAUGCAUAGCCGACCUGAGAGGGUGAUCGGCCACACUGGAACUGAGACACGGUCCAGACUCCUACGGGAGGCAGCAGUAGGGAAUCUUCCGCAAUGGGCGAAAGCCUGACGGAUCAACGCCGCGUGAGUGAUGAAGGUCUUCGGAUCGUAAAACUCUGUUAUUAGGGAAGAACAUAUGUGUAAGUAACUGUGCACAUCUUGACGGUACCUAAUCAGAAAGCCGCGGCUAACUACGUG
rnacentral:rRNA from 1 species